UGCCAGCCGCCGCGGUAAUACGGAGGGGGCAAGCGUUGUUCGGAAUUACUGGGCGUAAAGGGCGCGUAGGCGGCCAAGUCAGUCAGGCGUGAAAGCCCAGGGCUCAACCCUGGAAUUGCGCUUGAUACUGCUUGGCUCGAGACCGGAAGAGGGUAGUGGAAUUCUGAGUGUAGAGGUGAAAUUCGUAGAUAUUCGGAGGAACACCAGUGGCGAAGGCGGCUCACUGGCUCGAUACUGACGCUGAGGUGCGGAAGUGUGGGGAGCAAACAGGAUUAGAUA
rnacentral:rRNA from 1 species